CAGAGGGUCACCAUCUUUGGAGCACACCAUUAGCCCAUUAGCCCAAACCAUCACCACAAGAAAUGGAGUUUCACAUCCUGAAGCAAACUAGAAAAGGCCAAUUAGAACAUGGCUUUGCUUUCUUUAUAGCGCCGGUGUUGAUUGGAGUAAAAAUAUUACAGCCAUCAACUAAGAUAAUAGAAGAUUUAAUCCUUCAUUUGAGACGCCGCUGUGUACACAUCGAUAUCUGGAGUCCAACCAAAGAUUAUGAAGUAGCGCAGAAGAUACUACAUAUGCCAAAGACUAAGUAAGAUUUUCUACCGCUCACAUCAGACAAAGACCUAGGUAAUAUUUACUUUCUUUCAUUUGUUCAUCUUUGUCCAUGAACAAAAUCACCCUUCCACUGCCUUUCUGAAGGGAGUUAGCACAUAUGUGAAGGCAGCUUCGCUCAGCCAUGACCGUGGCGGUGGUGCAGCCCUCUUCCCAAGCUGAUUCCAAGAGCAGAACAAAUCUCUUUUCGUUUAGGUUUAUGGAGACGGUUGAGGUCCCAGCCAGCGUCAUGUUGAGAGCUAUGCUGGAGAAACUGAACCUUACAAGCCGCAAAUAAGAACACCGUGCUAUUUGAGCUGAGUCUGAACCAAAGAGUGUUUAUCCACCCUUCUGUGCAACUCCUCGAAUGUUUAGUACAGUUUUACUCAUUCUUGGGCUACCCAGGGGACACUUUGGAGAACACAUCAAAUGUUCUUUGCUUACUGCUGCUUAUUCAUAACUAGCCCUUUCAUAAUCUAGCGGUAUACGAGAUGUGUAUCUUC